rnacentral:rRNA from 1 species
CCUACGGGGGGCAGCAGUGGGGGAUAUUGCACAAUGGGGGGAACCCUGAUGCAGCGACGUAGCGUGGGUGAAGGAGCGUUUAGGCGCGUAAAGCCCUAUCGGCAGGGAAGAAGGAGGACGGUACCUGACGAAGAAGCCCCGGCUAACUACGUGCCAGCAGCCGCGGUAAUACGGAGGGGGCAAGCGUUAUCCGGAUUUACUGGGUGUAAAGGGGGCGGAGACGGGAGCGGAAGCCAGGAGUGAAAGCCCGGGGCCCAACCACGGGACUGCUCUUGGAACUGCGCGGCUGGAGUGCAGGAGGGGCAGGCGGAAUUCCUGGUGUAGCGGUGAAAUGCGUAGAUAUCAGGAGGAACACCGGUGGCGAAGGCAGCCUGCUGGACUGCGACUGACGUUGAGGCCCGAAAGCGUGGGGAGCAAACAGGAUUAGAUACCCGGGUAGUC